AUUCAAUUUGGUCCUUGAGUAGGGCGGAACACGUGAAAUUCUGUCUGAAUAUGGGGGGACCACCCUCCAAGCCUAAAUACUCCUGUGUGACCGAUAGUGAACAAGUACCGUGAGGGAAAGGUGAAAAGCACCCCGACGAGGGGAGUGAAACAGUUCCUGAAACUGAACGUCUACAAGCUGUAGGAGCCACCUUGCGUGGCGACUGCGUACCUUUUGUAUAAUGGGUCAGCGACUUAGUCUUACUAGCAAGCUUAAGCCGAUAGGUGUAGGCGCAGGGAAACCGAGUCUUAAUAGGGCGUUAAGUUAGUAGGAUUAGACCCGAAACCGAGUGAUCUAGCUAUGAGCAGGUUGAAGGUGCAGUAACAUGCACUGGAGGACCGAACCCACCUAUGUUGAAAAAUGGGGGGAUGACUUGUUGCUAGGGGUGAAAGGCCAAUCAAACUCGGAGAUAGCUGGUUCUCCGCGAAAUCUAUUUAGGUAGAGCGUCAAAUGAAUACCAACGGGGGUAGAGCACUGAAUGGGCUAGGGGGUCUCACCGACUUACCAAACCUAAUCAAACUCCGAAUACCGUUGAGUACUAUUUGGCAGACACACUGCGGGUGCUAAGGUCCGUAGUGGAAAGGGAAACAGCCCUGACCGCCGUCUAAGGUCCCUAAGUGAUAGUUAAGUGGUAAAGCAUGUGAGAAUGCACAGACAACCAGGAGGUUGGCUUAGAAGCAGCCACCCUUUAAAGAUAGCGUAACAGCUCACUGGUCAAGCGUUCUUGCGGCGAAAAUGUACCGGGGCUUAAACCUUCGGAGCUUGUAUACAAGGGUUUAUCGCGUCGUUUGUCGUUCUUUUUAAUCAGCGUAUCGGCAGCAGCCAAGAUAUAUUCUGUCGAUCGGAAGUUCUCGCCAAGCAAGAUGGUUUUCGCACCCGGAUAGUGAUCUUCGAAAUCGAGGAUGUUCGAGAUGUCCGCUCCUCGCCAGCCAUAAAUCGCUUGGUCAGGAUCGCCAACCACGCAGAUAUUGGGCGAGUGCUUUUCAUGUUCCAUGCCGGGCAAUGGUGCAGGCGCAGUGGUCAACAACGAGGUCAGCCGAAACUGCACCGAGUUUGUAUCCUGAUAUUCGUCGAUCAACAAAUACUUCCAGCGGGACGAAAGCUCGGAGCAAAUAUCCGGAUUGGUUUCGAGAAUUUUAACGGU
rnacentral:rRNA from 1 species